CACGUAGGGCGCGAGCGUUGUCCGGAAUUAUUGGGCGUAAAGAGCUCGUAGGCGGCCUGUUGCGUCCGCUGUGAAAGCCCGGGGCUUAACCCCGGGUCGGCAGUGGAUACGGGCAGGCUAGAGGUAGGUAGGGGAGAAUGGAAUUCCCGGUGUAGCGGUGAAAUGCGCAGAUAUCGGGAGGAACACCAAUGGCGAGGGCAGCUUGCUGGGACGGUACUGACGCUGAGGCGCGAAAGCUAGGGGAGCAAACGGGG
rnacentral:rRNA from 1 species